UUAAUUUUUUUUGUGAAUUUAGUAAUUUGCUGUCCUUUCUGUCUAAUAUGCUGUGAAUUUGUAGUUACAGAUGCAGCUGUAGAGUUUAAGCUAACCUUAUGGGUAAUUACCAGCGUAGUUGUCUUACUGAGGCAGUGUAUCAUAACCAUGUUUUUUAGGGUAAUGGUGCAGUUGAGUCAGCAGUAAGAAAUCUGGUGUCUUUGCUGUGUAGCCGGAUGGGCUACUCGCCUUUCUUUUCUCUCUCGCUCGCUCUACUGCUCUCGCUCUCUCCUGCGCUCGCUCUUGCUGCGCAGCUACGUUAAUUAGGAACCCACCUGCAUAUUGAUUACAGAGUGGUGUUUACCUGUAUAAAGGGAAGCCGGUUUUUUUGUUAGAUCAUUCCUCCCGAGCUUCUGGUGCGACACAGCAGUAAAUGCUGGCCUAUUGGUUAAUUUACCGAUACGAUCGGAUCGUGUGACUGCUACAGGUAGGCCUCCUUUUGACCUCUGCUUUCUCUCAAAAGUCGGUAACUAGUAGUCAUAUUUCCGUGGCCCGCUACAGCGCGGCUGUUUCUCUUUUCUUUACUCCAGCCGUGGUGGAGAGACGUGUUUGAGUUGCGUCCACCGUGCAGUAUAGCGCCUCCAGUCUUGGGGGUUUGAUUGCUGCCGCACCCUCUCAGGGACCAACUGCCUGAUAUUUUAAGCGAAGAGUCGAGACGCCUGCCGAGCUCUCCUCUCGUCUGGUCUGGUUUCGUCUCGUCAUCUGUUGGCUGUCCAGUUUGUUCCUGCUGCUUGCCUCGCCCGUGGGGGCUUUGGGUCUCACGCUAAGCCCCUUUUGGACUAUCGUUUCACUCCAGCUUUCGGGGCGAUCCUCAGCUGCAUAUUGGGCUGGUGUUACAAAACUGGUAUUGCCUCUCCCUUUUCUCCCAGUUGUGGAGAGCUGCGCGAGACUGAGUGGGGCUACGGACAAUCGGAACCAGCACCAGCUGUGGGCUGGCUCGCAGAGUACAAGUAUUUCCAAUCUGUGCUCUGUGGUGUGUAUGUGGGUGUGUUUUAUUGCAGAUCUCAGUUUUUCUUUUAAUUUAUUUAUGUCCCAUGUUUUUAUUCUUGUAAUGUGUAUGUCUUGUGCUUUUAUUUCAGCGAACUGAGGAUCUACCAGUGGCCGUGGGACCUUAGGUGGUGGGUCGUUUUCCACACUUCUUUUGUUGUACAGCACCAGGUGAAUAGACUAUAGUGGGUUUUUUUUUUGUGUGGUUUUCUUUUGGUCCACCGCUGCUGGUAAGUCCCAGUUGUAUGUUUAUUUUUAUUGUAAUUUGGGACACCGUUUUAGAUGACACUGCAUUCAGUGCGCUGUUGUUUUGUUUUUAUUUCAUAUUAAUAAAUAAAAUUGUUAAUAUUUGAGCCGGCCUCAGUGUGCAUCCCUGAACCUGUGCGAAUGUUGUUUUAAUUACAUUUUAUUUCUAAAGUUCAUAUUUCCUGGGGGCUAGAAUUUCCCCCCAGGUGGCGUUGUCAUUUUAUUAUUUCUUCUAUAACCCCGCUGACCACUUGGUCACAGCUGCUUAACAACAUAUCCACAAAUCCUUCAGGGAGGCCAACAGAGAGUGGGCAGCCGGAGCCUAGACAUCUGACUAUCCAGCAAGAGAUGACAAGAUCAUUUCCAGGAUGUUUCAAAUCAAACUUGAGCCGUGGUAAAAAGAGAUGUUUAACAUCUACUAAGCAGCUUGUUAAGGCAGGCAGUAAGACCACAGGCCUCAAUUUUUAUUUGCUGUCAAAAAACACAUCCUACACACCUUUGCCAGCUGAGGAGCUUGAACUCCUACAAGCUGGCUUGGGGAGACAAACAGUGUCUCUUCCAGAAGAUGGUGACCAUGCAGAGGUAAGUUUGUAUAGUCAGUAUUAAAAUCAGUCAUCGGCAGACGCAUUUAGCCUGAAUCAUAUGCCACAGUCCAUUUAGUGUUCCAUUCUGCUUAACUGUGUUUUUAACUAAGAUUUCUAGACUUCUGGAAGAAACCUUUCCAAAAAUGGAAUAUCUUUGUGGAGGAUGGCUCCAUUAUGUAGUUGAUACUUUUGCUGCUUGAUUGUUUAUGCUAUCUUUCUGUCAAUAAAGGUGGCAGUGGUCGACGAAAGCUCACUGUAAUUCCACCUGAAACAGAAGGAUAUUCUGUCAAAACACUGAAAGCUGUGUCAGGAGGUGGCAAAUCCACUUUUUACAUUGUACCUCUUCAGGAAACAUUAGACACAUCUCCUCUACCUCCCGACUCACAGCACUUUUCAAAGAUGCCAAAGAAGAUGUUACCAGUGUAAUGAACUUAUGCCUCUGCAGAUGCUUGCAGUACACAUCAAUACGUGCAACGGAAAAUUCUCUCCUGAUGAUGAGGAAUCUGAGUUAUGCAUUGUGAAAAGCAAAUGCAAGGUAAACCUAUAGCACAUUACUAAAAACCAUAGUAACUACAAUGAAUCGGUAAUGAUUUUUUUCCCACAAUGAGAACAAGGGCAAAAACCCCAAGUAUUCUCUGACCGAUCUUGAUAAUGAAAACUUCAGGUUGGUUACAUACGAGCUUUGUGUAUUACAUUUAAUACGCAUCCGAUAUUUUUGUAAAUGUUACCUGAAAAUGAAUUAUAAUCAUUUGUCUUCACAGAACUAUUGGUGAAAUAAUUGCAGUCAGCCUCGCCCAAGGAGGCCCAUCUCCUGCCUUUUUCAAAGAAUGGUGCUACAAUUUCCUCUGCUCAGGAGAGGAUGAUUUCAGCUGUCUGUUUAAGGAGGAUGUUGCAGAUGUGGAAUUUUCCCUGCUCAUCAGCAAAGUUGAAGAUGCAGCAGACAUACAGUCUCUGAUGUGGGCUGAUGAAAUUGCCAGCUGUGGAUACACAAACCAGAUAAAGAUGGAUAGUAAGGAAAGCAUGAUCCGCCAGACGCUGAUUUCAUUAUGAUGAGCUGCCAACCACAUUUCAGUGAAAAGGGGACAUCUAGGGAGAGAACUGAGAGGAAGAUCAUAAAUAUUUUGCAAGAUUUCUUGCAGGAGAUUGAAGUAUCAGGCGGUGCAGGUGGUGAAAAAUCAGUCUCUUGCUGUCAAGCAUGUGCUCCAGUGGAUGACCGGCCAGUCCCAUGUUCCCAUCCUUCCUGAUGAAAAGAGACAUUUCAAAAUAACAUGCAAGUUUGACCAUGAAUGUAAGGAGCGGCUGGGAGAUCACUCAAUUUGUUACCCAGUUGUGAGUGCAUGCACUUGUACUGUGACUUUUCCAGUGCAGCAUCUGGACACUUACAGUGUUUAAAACCAUAAUGAGUGCAGCAGUUAGAUAUGGUGGUGAAUUCCACAGAGUUUAAAACAUUGUCUUGUAAUUUGGAAACUAAAUGAGUAAAAAUGUUUCUAAACAUUAGCUGUUAAGAUGUUUGUAGCUGUUUCAUGAAAAUGACAAGACUUCAAAACUUUGUGUAGGGUCCUACGUUGAUAGAUAAUAAGCAAGUGAUUUGUUUGCUUGUCUACUUGUAAUCUGAAUGUUUUAGCAAAGAAAUCCAGUAUUUGAGAACUUAAGAGCGUUGACUUUCAUGUCCAUGUUAAGUGUCACUGUUGGUUUGACACCUGUAGCAAGAAUUAUAUGUACAGGUCACGACCGUGUGACUCAGAAUGUUCCAAGGGAUUAAUUGUUCUCUGAAGUCCCUCCAGGGUUUCCUCAUCCAGUGGGCAUUCAACUUCAGGAACCACAACUGUGCUGUUAGAUUCUUCUUGCAGUACAGCACUCUCCCAGUCAAUGCCUGGAUCCUGAAGCUCCUUCAAAUCCACAAACAUAUAUAAUAGUCAUUAUUCCAGAAUAGGUACUUUUGGGAGUAAUGUUAUUUUGUGUAAGCGUUUUUUUCCAUUAAAUACAACAAUUUAAAAAUAAUGCCUUUGUUUUCAUGCUCU